UACGGGGGGGGCAAGCGUUGUUCGGAAUUACUGGGCGUAAAGGGCUCGUAGGCGGCCAACUAAGUCAGACGUGAAAUCCCUCGGCUUAACCGGGGAACUGCGUCUGAUACUGGAUGGCUAGAGUUUGGGAGAGGGAUGCGGAAUUCCAGGUGUAGCGGUGAAAUGCGUAGAUAUCUGGAGGAACACCGGUGGCGAAGGCGGCAUCCUGGACCGACACUGACACUGAGGAGCGAAAGCCAGGGGAGCAAACGGG
rnacentral:rRNA from 1 species